CCACAUAGCUUUUCUUUUUUGAACCAUCCCAUGCAAAAUAGGAAGGAAUCAAGAGGGAAAGACCACAAAUCGAUGGUUAGGAUGGGUAGGAGGGAGAUUUCUAAGGUUUUGGAAGUGAAAGAAAUAGUCAAGGAACAAUGGCAAAGUGAAAUAGGGCAACAUAGGACCCAUGGAGCCAACUUUAUAGCCAGCAAUCCCGACAGUCGAGUCGACUCG
rnacentral:lncRNA from 1 species